rfam:Gossypium hirsutum cultivar TM-1 unplaced genomic scaffold scaffold4228.1, whole genome shotgun sequence
AUUCUGUGAUGGGGGCAUCUUCAUAAUAGUUUUUUAAACUUUUCCCAUGCCUCAUACAAGAACUCUUCAUCCAUCUGUUGGAAGGUAGUGAUCUCGUUCCUCAACAU